rnacentral:rRNA from 1 species
UACGAAGGGGGCUAGCGUUGCUCGGAAUCACUGGGCGUAAAGCGCACGUAGGCGGAUUGUUAAGUCAGGGGUGAAAUCCUGGAGCUCAACUCCAGAACUGCCUUUGAUACUGGCGAUCUUGAGUCCGGGAGAGGUGAGUGGAACUGCGAGUGUAGAGGUGAAAUUCGUAGAUAUUCGCAAGAACACCAGUGGCUGAAGGCGGCUCACUGGCCCGGUACUGACGCUGAGGUGCGAAAGCGUGGGGAGCAAACAGG